UGUCAAGCGUUUUGGCGUCGUUUUGGCGAGCCGAUUUCUUUUGCCUUUGAAAAGGUGAAGGAAA
rnacentral:sRNA from 1 species